rnacentral:rRNA from 1 species
UACGUAGGGUGCGAGCGUUAAUCGGAAUUACUGGGCGUAAAGCGUGCGCAGGCGGUUUUGUAAGACAGAUGUGGAAUCCCCGGGCUCAACCUGGGAACUGCGUUUGUGACUGCAAGACUCGAGUGCGGCAGAGGGGGGUGGAAUUCCACGUGUAGCAGUGAAAUGCGUAGAGAUGUGGAGGAACACCGAUGGCGAAGGCAGCCCCCUGGGUCGACACUGACGCUCAUGCACGAAAGCGUGGGGAGCAAACAGG